UGUGCGUCCAGUUGGAGGUCUUCUUAGGGGUAUACUGGGGAAAUGAUCUGUGGACUAAGAAUUAUGAAUUAAUAACUCAAAUGCUGACGAAACCGGAUUGGCUGACUUCGAUGAUGACACCUGCCAUUAUGCUUCCUGAGCUGCUGCUUCACAACUCUCUCACCAAUCAAAUGCUGACUGAAAAUCAUGAAUCAUACUGAAUGGGC